UGCGGGGUGGAGCAGUCUGGUAGCUCGUCGGGCUCAUAACCCGAAGGUCAUAGGUUCAAAUCCUAUCUCCGCUA
rnacentral:tRNA from 1 species